GGUGGAGUUUCAUAAGCAAGCUUGGGCCAUUAUGCCUUGUCUUCUAACUACGUUCCAUGAUGAAGAGUCUCUCUCCAGCUUUCUUGUAUCAAAACAGAAUAACAAGAGCCAGGAGGAGCACUGCUUCUUGGAAAAUUUAUCAUUCGUCUAAAGAAG